AUGUUGUUUAUCCAAACCUGUGAAGAAUGGCGGAAAAAUCACUCGUGAAUCAGAUCUUCCUUCCAGGCGAUUCGGUGACUUUAUCAAAGACAGAUGAAAUUUCGAAUGCCAAAAUCGUACUCGGUCCCGGUCUGAGGAAAUAUGGAAAACAGAUUUUAGUUACUAAACCAGGCAUUUUACGUACGAAAUCAACGCCACCAACUUACUGGAUAGACUGUCAUCACAGACAAAGGAGAUUGGUGUUCUUGAUGUGGUUACCAAUGUUGUUGGUGAAUUGUUCAAAGUCUAUAUUGGAUCAAAUGAGGAAGCUUCCUUUUCAAGCAUUGCAUUUCCAGGUGCCCCUAAAAGAACAAGCCCAACAUACAGAUCAGGGAUCUGGCGUUUGCCAAGGUACUAAUAGCGAGCACUGACAUGGAACCAGAACUGGUAAAGGUGAAUUCACUGGGAGAAAAUGUUGGAUUGGGUAUCUGAUCAACAAACGGCUUUGUUUUCACUGGACAUUUGCAUCAUAUUCACAAGUGAUCAAACGUUGCUGUUUUCUUGUGCAAUAAACGCUGCCGAAAUCACCUGUCGUACAAACUGACGUUUCCCAUGGACCGAUUGGCAACAACCUGGACAUUGGCUUUGAAGACACGACUACGCUCUAACUGUGUAAUUGUACUCAUAAUUGGCGGAAGGCUGGUACCAUAGUACAAUGAAAUUGCGUACAACGUGUACGAGAAAAUGAACGAGUGCAAAGGAUGGGUUACUACAAUUGCAUCCUUUAUUGUGCCCUCGAAAGCUUGUGCCCAAGGCUUUAACGUUUAGUUGUAACUCAACGUUUCGUGGACAGACGAAUGCAGUGAUUACUAGUUCAGGUUCAAUUCAUU